GAUGAACGCUGGCGGCGUGCUUAACACAUGCAAGUCGAACGAAGCACUUUAACUUGAUUUCUUCGGAAUGAUUGUUCUUGUGACUGAGUGGCGGACGGGUGAGUAACGCGUGGGUAACCUGCCUCAUACAGGGGGAUAACAGUUAGAAAUGACUGCUAAUACCGCAUAAGCGCACAGUACCGCAUGGUAUGGUGUGAAAAACUCCGGUGGUAUGAGAUGGACCCGCGUCUGAUUAGCUAGUUGGCGGGGUAACGGCCCACCAAGGCGACGAUCAGUAGCCGGACUGAGAGGUUGAUCGGCCACAUUGGGACUGAGAUACGGCCCAGACUCCUACGGGAGGCAGCAGUGGGGAAUAUUGGGCAAUGGACGCAAGUCUGACCCAGCAACGCCGCGUGAAGGAAGAAGGCUUUCGGGUUGUAAACUUCUUUUAAGAGGGAAGAGUAGAAGACGGUACCUCUUGAAUAAGCCACGGCUAACUACGUG
rnacentral:rRNA from 1 species